UACGGGGGGGGCAAGCGUUGUUCGGAAUUACUGGGCGUAAAGGGUGCGUAGGUGGCGGGGUAAGUCAGGUGUGAAAUUUCGGAGCUUAACUCCGAAACUGCAUUUGAUACUGCCUUGCUUGAGGACUGGAGAGGAGACUGGAAUUCACGGUGUAGCAGUGAAAUGCGUAGAGAUCGUGAGGAAGACCAGUGGCGAAGGCGGGUCUCUGGACAGUUCCUGACACUGAGGCACGAAGGCCAGGGGAGCAAACGGG
rnacentral:rRNA from 1 species